rnacentral:rRNA from 1 species
UACGGAGGGGGCUAGCGUUGUUCGGAAUUACUGGGCGUAAAGCGCGCGUAGGCGGCUUUGUAAGUUAGAGGUGAAAGCCCAGGGCUCAACCCUGGAAUUGCCUUUAAGACUGCAUCGCUUGAACAUCGGAGAGGUAAGUGGAAUUCCGAGUGUAGAGGUGAAAUUCGUAGAUAUUCGGAAGAACACCAGUGGCGAAGGCGACUUGCUGGACGAUUGUUGACGCUGAGGUGCGAAAGCGUGGGGAGCAAACAGG